rnacentral:rRNA from 1 species
UCGGAACGUGUCCCGUAGUGGGGGAUAGCCCGGCGAAAGCCGGAUUAAUACCGCAUAUGCUCUACGGAGGAAAGUGGGGGAUUCUUGGGCAACUGAGGACCUCACGCUAUGGGAGCGGCCGAUGUCCGAUUAGCUAGUUGGUAGGGUAAUGGCCUACCAAGGCGACGAUCGGUAGCUGGUCUGAGAGGAUGAUCAGCCACACUGGGACUGAGACACGGCCCAG